rnacentral:snRNA from 1 species
AUACUUUCCUGAUAGGAGAGAUACCGCGAUCAGUUAGUUACGGCGGUAUUCUCAGGGCGAGGCCUACCCAUUGCACUACAGGGGGGAAAAGGUUGACCCUUGCGAUUUUCCCAAAUGUGGGAAACUCGACUGAACAGUUUGAGGAGUGC